GUCUCCACUGACCCUGGUUUGACGGAGAGCCCUAGACAUUAUGAGAAACAUUUUUUGGGCACAAACAUUUUUCUCUUCCUUUGGGUAUUAAGCUUCAUUGUCUACCUAACCUAUCACACCACCCCUGUCUGAGGUGAGGUGUAUAUUCACUGUCAUACAAGGUGUGUGUGAGCCAGGUGUGUG